UACGUAGGGUGCGAGCGUUAAUCGGAAUUGCUGGGCGUAAAGCGUGCGCAGGCGGUCAUAUAAGACAGAUGUGAAAUCCCCGGGCUCAACCUGGGAGCUGCAUUUGUGACUGCAUAGCUGGAGUGCGGCAGAGGGGGAUGGAAUUCCGCGUGUAGCAGUGAAAUGCGUAGAAAUGCGGAGGAACACCGAUGGCGAAGGCAAUCCCCUGGGCCUGCACUGACGCUCAUGCACGAAAGCGUGGGGAGCAAACAGG
rnacentral:misc_RNA from 1 species